CUAGUUCUUGUGGUCUGGAUUUCUAGUUCCCGGUCUGACCUCUGAUCUAGCAAGAAGUCUUUGUCUAAGUUGGGCACUGGUUUUCUUGUGGUUAGCUUAGACUUUGCUGUAGCAGGAGGUUUCUGUUCUUCUGUUUGUUGUGGCUUGUUUUUCUAACUGCUGUGGACUGUACCUUUUCUUUCAACUGGUGUGGACUGUACCUGAGCCAAAGAAGUCUGCUGGAUUUGGGAUAGGGGUGUGGAGAGCUGCAAUGCGCCAUGCCAGAAGAUGGCGCCGGUUUCUGCCUUCCACCAUCCCAAGGGUCUUCUCUGUGGUCAAGAAGCCAGGUGGGAGCAUCCAUAAGUCAUGUGCUGUCAUGGGGCUGCGUCAUUUUUAUUGGCAUUCCCUGGAGGUAUUUACAGUUCACCAACACUGAAAGUGGGAUUUCCAAGAGACACAUUUGAUGAGGAAUUGUUCUGAAAGAAUGGACUUGAAACAGACUCAGAAAGGAAAGUAAGACAAUUCCUUAUUUAAUAUCAGAGUACAUUGAAGCUGGUGGAGAUUGGAUGCAAAUGAGGAUCAUCCACAGGCAAACAAAAGGGAUGUGAGAUGUCAGUGUGAGCUCAUCAUAGACAUGGUUGCUCCACAGGGGCCAAGGAUCUCACAGCAUCCCAAGGAGGAUGGGUGGACUCACCAAUAAACACCAGAACAUUAUUGUUCAUUGUUUGUUCAUUUUAUUGCAU
ensembl:lncRNA